rnacentral:lncRNA from 1 species
GCCUUUAAUUGUUAAUUGCAUGCUAUAUGAUGUUGCUCAAAUGAACAUGUUUUUCAAAAUAAAUCCUUCAUUUAGUUAUUUUACGCAUCACCUUAGAGGAUGGAAUAACCUUAAAUAAAGUUAAGAUUCAAACAAGGAAAGUCUUAUGAUGGAUACUUAGGCACCUGGAGACAAGGAAGGACUUAGGUAGCGAAAUACUUCGUUUUCAUGAUGAUUUUUGUGAGUCCACUUUACUACACCACUAGUCUACUAUUGUAAUUUUAUGAUUUAAUUUUUUUUUAUUGAGUUGCUUCAUGUUUUUAUAUUGUAACUAAUUAUUUAGUAAUGUAUCCAUUAGGUCUUUCAUAGUGGAUCGAAACUUUGAGUUUGAUUCAAGUUUAUAGGAAUCAAAUUUCUACAAUAUAUUGAAAAAUUCAGCCUGGUUGUUAGUUCUCUUAACUUCACUCUUAGUCCUCCCUCCAGUUUGACAACCUAUCCCCUUGUGCAACAAAAAACUGGCCUUCUCCUCAAAGAUUGUUAUUCUGGAGGGUUAACUUCAUACUCAAAGUUUUUAACUAUGCCUUGAAGACAAGAACUUUAUAAUUUUCUUAUGUUAAAUACCAAGAGAACAAUGACCACAAACUGGUUGAAACAAGGUUUGAACCAAUUGGCAAUCCUUGAUGGAAAGGAGAAUAUAGAGAGUGAAAUGACAAUGAUAAAUGUAAGGGAAAUUCUUGUAAAUAUUCAAAUAAUGUCAAUAAAACAAAUGAUAAAUAACAUCUUCAUGACAAUAACUUGGAAGUAAAUAAUACACACUCGGGCAAGUUUCCAAGUCUUUUGGGCAAGUUCUUGUUCUUUUAGGCAUUACAAUAGUAGAGGGCUUUUAUAAGGUAAUCAAUACUACAAAAGGAAGUAGGCGAGCUAUAAAUACAAGGGAAUGUUUGAAGUACAAAAGGAAUAACUUAAAAGUAGGCUGCAAAGCUUUUAUUCAGUCUUUUUGUUCAGUUAAGUGUUAUUUUCUCUAAUUACUUUGCUGCUUUCUAUAGAAGCUUAUUUCUUUCAGAAUUGAGUUUUUCUGAUUCAGUUCAUUUCCUUUGUUUGUACCAUACUUGACCAAUCCCGAAACUAUUGAGCACCGGUCAACGUUAUAUCGUUAAGGACCCAGAAGAGUUUCCCUUCAACCAGGAAGCCAAUCACAGCGCGACACGUGUCAACAUCAGAAACCAAUCACAACACGACAUGUGUCAAUGUCAGAACAAAGCUAGAAUCUCUCUUCUAUAAAAGGAGAUCAUUCUCCCACAAUAUUUUCUAAUGUCAUUUGUACUAAAUCAUUCACUAGUACUCACUAAAGGAGAGCUUGACCCUAUUGAUAGGAGCAUAUUUAUGCGCCUUAGUUAGCUAGUUCUUAUGCAUUUAUGUUGUGUUUUCUUAGUUAAGUUAGUCUUUUAAGCUAUUUUCAUGUGUUUUCAGGUUUUAAGGACAAAGUAAGCAAAAAGAUGCAAUUUGGAGCAUUUUGGAGCAAAAUUGAGCUAGAAUGGAGCUCAUGCAUGUGGAGCCCAAAGAAUGGACGAAUUUGAAGGAUUGAAGAAGCUAGGAAUGUGUUUCAAAGUUGAAGAAUUGAAGAUGCAAAGUUUCCUAAUUGAAGUAGGAAAAUGCCUAAUUGAAGAUGAAAUCCUAGUCAACAAUGAUUCCUAGUUGAAGUUGGAUUUCUAGAAGAUUAAAGAUUCCUACUCAAACAAGGUUUCCUACUUGAAGAAGGAAAGUUAAAAGCCAAAGAAUCAGCUGAAGUGAAGAAACCUUAUCCAAAACAUUAUCCAUAACCUUAUCCUAUCCUAUCUUAUCCUAAUCCUAAUCUACCUAUAUUUCAGCUACAAAAGGGAUUUCUUUUCCUAUUUGGAGACUUAAAACCUGAUUUCUAGAAGCCUUAUCCCUUCCUACAAAGGUGCCACACCUUAUCCCUUGUUUUUCUAGAAAUCAGCCACAAAACAACCUUUCUAGAAGGCCUUAUCCCUUGUCCUACAAAAGUGACGCCCCAAACCUUUCUAGAACUUCUAGAAACCUGAUUAUUCCUUUCCCCCUUGGUUUCUAAAAGCCUUAGCCUUUUCCUUCAAGGAUUGUGUGUUAUUAUCCUAUACAAAUUGGGCCUUUCAAUCCUUUUCCUUUGCUACAUAGGGGCUGCGAAUUUCAGCCUAUAAAUACCAUCCUUUGCUGCACCAUUUAGUCACCACCCUCUACCAUAUUUUCACUACACCAUUCACCCAAACAUCCCUCUUGUGUUGUGAGUUUGCAAAGGAGAAGGAAGGAGACUCUUGGAGCCGUGCAUGCCAUUCAAGGAGCUUGGAUUGUUGGAACGUUUCUAGGUGUUUUCUAUCUUUAUGUCAAUGUUUAAAUUUAUUUAUCUUUGUUUAUU